rnacentral:rRNA from 1 species
ACCCGCUGAACUUAAGCAUAUCAAUAAGCGGAGGAAAAGAAACCAACAGGGAUUGCCCCAGUAACGGCGAGUGAAGCGGCAACAGCUCAAAUUUGAAAUCUGGCUCCUUCGGGGUCCGAGUUGUAAUUUGUAGAGGAUGUUUCGGCGUUGGGCCCGUGCUAGGUUCCUUGGAACAGGACGUCAUAGAGGGUGAGAACCCCGUCUUUGCUCGGGAUACCAUCGCCAUGUGAAACUCCUUCGACGAGUCGAGUUGUUUGGGAAUGCAGCUCUAAGCGGGAGGUAAAUUUCUUCUAAAGCUAAAUAACGGCCAGAGACCGAUAGCGCACAAGUAGAGUGAUCGAAAGAUGAAAAGCACUUUGGAAAGAGAGUUAAAAAGCACGUGAAAUUGUUAAAAGGGAAGCUCUUGCUACCAGACUUGGCCGCGGUUGCUCAGCCGUCCUUUUGGGCGGUGUAUUCUUCCGUGGCCAGGCCAGCAUCAGUUUAGGCGGCCGGAUAAAGACCUUUGGAAUGUAGCCUUUCGGGGUGUUAUAGCCUAGGGUGUAAUGCGGUCUGCCUGGACUGAGGACAGCGUUUUCGAGGAUGCUGGCGUAAUGGCAGCAAGCGACCCGUCUUGAAACACGG